GACACGACUCUCGGCAAUGGAUAUCUCGGCUCUCGCAUCGAUGAAGAGCGCAGCGAAAUGCGAUACGUGGUGCGAAUUGCAGAAUCCCGCGAACCAUCGAGUCUUUGAACGCAAGUUGCGCCCGAGGCCAACCGGCCGAGGGCGCGUCCGCCUGGGCGUCAAGC
rnacentral:rRNA from 1 species